GACCAUCUCUGGGCAACACUUUUCUUUGAAAACUCGGGGGUGCUUGACGAGCGGAGGAGGCAUGGUGGAGAGAAUUUUCAUUAAGGUUUUCAAACAUCUGCCAUGCCUCAUGCUCACUCUUAAGCAUGAAAGUACCCCCGCAUGCGGCAUCGAUCAUCUGACGGUUUCGUUUAGUCAAUCCGUCAUAGAAACAUUGCACUAACUGCCAUUUAGGUAUUUGAUGAUGCGGGCAUUUUCGGAGUAAGUCUCUAAAUUUUUCUCAAGUUUCAUGAAAUUCUUUUCCGUCAGAUUGGGAGAAGCUCGUGAUCGCACGCCUAAAUUGGUUCAUUCUUCCUAUGGAAAAAUAUUUUUUCAGAAAUUCAUGUUGCAUUUGAGUCCAAGAGAGAAUGGAAUUGGCUUCUAAUGAAUGAAGCCACUGCUUAGCUCUAUCUUUAAGAGAAAAAGGGAAUAGCCUAAGUUUCAGAGCUUCGUCAGUGAAGUUCUGAAUUUUGACAGUUGUGCAGAUCUCAAGAAAUUCAUCCAAAUAUUUAUAUGGGUCUUCAUUGUUAAGUCCAUAAAAAGAGGGAAGCAUUUGGAUGACACUAGACUUAAUUUCAAAAUGUGCAGCAACGGUGGUAUCAGGUAGUCGAAUACAAGAUGGAGAGGUAUAAAUGGAAGGAGUGAAGUACUCAUUUAGGAGUUUGGGUUAUUCUUUAGCCAUCUCUAUAAGUGGAGCAGAUCCUAUGGUUCUAUAGGUACGGAUUUCAGCUCGAAGGGCCCUAAUAGAACGCUCUAUUUCAGAAUCGAAAGGUACUAAUUCAGGAGAUCUGGAAUGACACCCUAGCAUACACUAAUACUCUUCUGAUCAGUUAAGUACAAUCAAGCAUGCAUUAAGAAGAAAAACACAUAAAAUCCUAGUAUGUCCCUAAAAUCACUAGACAGUUCCUAACUGGUUUGAAGAGGGCACCUAAGCCUCCAAUCCGGUAUAAUGAACUUAGUUGACC
rnacentral:lncRNA from 1 species